UGGCGUGGUGUUGUUGUUGUCCGCUGUGUUGUCGCGGCAAAUCCAAGUGUUGAGGUGCACAGUGUAAAAUAGACGGUUGCAAAAUUCUAAAGGCCAUUUUCUUUCCUCCUUCGAAUUUCGAUUUUGAUGACCCUCAGUUCUGGAUAUGCCUGCUUCUCACAGUAGUGGGGGUUUUGCCAGGGAACAUAUAUUCCAUAUAUUACGUACUAAAUCCAAAGCCGGCAUGAUUACUAUAUAUGUUAGUAGUUUGAAUGCGUGUCAAUAAGGAUGAGAAGGGAAAGAGAUAAUUUUGCAUGUUUUCCUACUGGAAUAUACAAUAAUAAUACUAUAAAUGUGUAUGUAAAUUAAUACAUUAUGCUUUCAUUCAGGUCCCACUACAAUUGUAUCUUCUUAUUUUGAUUCUA